UGCCACAACAGAUCCGAC
rnacentral:snRNA from 1 species